AUGCGAUACGUAAUGUGAAUUGCAGAAUUCAGUGAAUCAUCGAGUCUUUGAACGCACAUUGCGCCCCCUGGUAUUCCGGGGGGCAUGCCUGUCCGAGCGUCAUUGCUGCCCUCAAGCCCGGCUUGUGUGUUGGGUCUCGUCCCCCUUCCCGGGGGGACGGGCCCGAAAGGCAGCGGCGGCACCGCGUCCGGUCCUCGAGCGUAUGGGGCUUUGUCACCCGCUCUGUAGGCCCGGCCGGCGCUUGCCGAUCAACCAAAACUUUUUUCCAGGUUGACCUCGGAUCAGGUAGGGAUACCCGCUGAACUUAA
rnacentral:misc_RNA from 1 species